rnacentral:lncRNA from 1 species
AUGGGGCUGCUUUAAUGUGAAGCGAGAUCCAGGCAGAGGAUGCUCCGAAUGCAGCUCAGACAAAAGUGUGCUUCAGCCACACAAACGCAGAGCACAGUCUUUGCCGUGUCCCAGAAGCAUCUGGAGCAAAACCAUGGCAAUACGAUGUACCCUCGCAAAAUGACUUAGGUGAAAGCAGUGGAAAAAGCUGGUUACUCCAUCUCCCAGGCCUUUCUCACCCCUUUGGAAAUUUCCACCGAAGCCCACCAGGGACAAGCCGUGAGCCCGCAGGGCUGUAGAGGAUGCCCUGAGAACGUGGGGACACAUGGGAAAGCUCCGUGCACCCCCUGGGAAAGUUUGUGUUUUUCAGGAGCCUGGCUGGCUGCCUGCAUCUCACAUGGUGUGGAGCAUCUCCUGCGGUCAGCAACAGCGGAUGAGAGCAGUUCCCUGGAGGCACCUCACAGAGUGAGAUCCGUCUGCUGCUGCUGUAGUUUCAUGCCCUUCCAUGGCCACAGAAGAACGCUCAAGCAGAUAUUUCGGUAUACUGCAGAAAUGACCUGAGUGUGCUGGAUUCUGGCUGGGUUAUCCAGGGUCUUUUCUGGCCAGUAAUGUGUUCUCCUAGAGGAGAGCCAGAAAAAGGAUGGGCCAGAGCAACUUUGCUUGAACUCUCCAACCCAAAGUCAUUUCCAAACAUCAUGAGGCUGGAUUUGGAAGCCAAGUUUUGGUGUUCACGAAGGACUGAUUGUUACUCCCUACCUUAGCCUUAAAUUCAGUAAGGUGCUGAAAAACAAAGCGUAGGCAUAGGAUCAGUUGUGACUCUUAGCAGAUGAACUGGACUGCCUGAUUACCUGUUGAUGAGCCAUUUAAUUGGAG